UGGGGAAUAUUGCGCAAUGGGCGAAAGCCUGACGCAGCGACGCCGCGUGAGGGAUGAAGGCCUUCGGGUCGUAAACCUCUUUCAGCAGGGAAGAAGCGAAAGUGACGGUACCUGCAGAAGAAGCACCGGCUAACUACGUGCCAGCAGCCGCGGUAAUACGUAGGGUGCAAGCGUUGUCCGGAAUUAUUGGGCGUAAAGAGCUCGUAGGCGGUCUGUCGCGUCUGCUGUGAAAACUCAGGGCUUAACCCUGAGCUUGCAGUGGGUACGGGCAGACUAGAGUGCGGUAGGGGAGACUGGAAUUCCUGGUGUAGCGGUGAAAUGCGCAGAUAUCAGGAGGAACACCGGUGGCGAAGGCGGGUCUCUGGGCCGUAACUGACGCUGAGGAGCGAAAGCAUGGGGAGCGAACAGG
rnacentral:rRNA from 1 species